rnacentral:lncRNA from 1 species
GUCAAAUACGUAAAGAAAAUGAAGCAUGCAUAUCAUAAACCCCAUCCCGUUACGUAUCAGAGCAACCUAAGACUCAGUGAGGCAAGGCCACUCACGACAGCACAACAGCAACCUACGCUCGAUCACCUGCAAGUUACUCAUACGAAGAGCAACAUUUCUAAGCAGAAGGGGUGAGAUUUCACAAAACAAUAAUAUUAAUCAAUAUAAUUCAACAAUCGUAAUUAACAACAUAAACAUCUUAAAUAUCGUAGCAUCAUUGAUAAUAAAAUAUCAAGUAAUCACUUCAUUUAAACAUCACAAAUAACCUAACAUUUUAACAUCUUUCAUCAUUUGACUCGACAAUGCGACAAUGCAACUUAGACCUCUUAUAUGCAUGUGGUACCAAUACAGGGCUUGAGCCCCCAUCGUUAUUUGAGCUAAUGCUCCAUCGUGUUGAGUACUAAGCUCCAGGGCAUAAGCCCCCAACAUAUGUAUGCUAAUGCAUGGACUCGAUCUCUUAAAACAUCUUAAUCAUCAUCUCUUAUGUAUCCAAUAAUUUGGAGUUCAACAUCAUCUUAAUCAUCUUAUAUAGACUCAUGCAUCAUAGUUAAAUAACAAUAGCAGCAUAAGCAGAUCACAACAACAUUAUGACAUCAUAUAAAGAUAUCAAAUUAAAUCAAGCAUCAACUCAAUCAUUCAUUCAUUAACAUUUCAAGUAAUGCAAUUAAUCAUUAAAUCACAUUAUAAUCAACUUAACAUUUCAUAACAGCUUCACAGAUUGCAGUUAACAUCCUAUAUAGGUCACAUUACUACCCAAGGGUCCAUCUCUAAACAAGUUAUGCGACACAGGUCGCAAAGUUCUCACUUGCACUCAGUUCUGGAAGUGCUCGCGAGGCGAGAGCAUCUGCUCGCCAUGGCGAGUACAAGCCAGAUUCCCAACUAAAGUUGUUCUAAGCUAAACCAGGUUCAAUCUCACUCUAAGUCAUCAUCUAAUCUUUAUUUAAUAUCUUUAGGCACUCAAAAACAUCUAAGGUUCAACUCAAAAGUAAAAAAUACAGAAUCCUACAUGCUCUCUGAUCAUGCUCGCUAUGGCGAGUAAGGUUGUUCGCUAUGGCGAGCUGCGACAUACAACUCGCGAGGCGAAGGGAAAUGGCUCGCGUGGCGAGCGAUGAACUUCAUCACUCGCGAGACAAGGAUCAUCAUUCGCGAGGGCGAGCGAUGAAUAUAGGCUCGGGCAGAAUGCAGUUUUUCACGAAAAUUCAACAACUCACAUGAUUUUAAGCCUAAUUUCAAUUCCAGAAUUCAUCAUAUUCAUAAUCUAAGGUCAAAGGACAGUUCCUACAUCAAUCUAACCAAUUUUCACCGUUUAAUCAUCAAUUCUAAGGAUUUGACCUAACUCUCGACUUCUCCAAUUCAAUCCUAUUUCUUGCUAAUUACAACAGGAUGGAUUACAUGAUCAAUAAAAUUGCAGAGUUAGUCUCACCCUUACCUUAAUUUGAAGAAAUCGCAGCCCUAGGUCUCUCUUGCUCUUCUCUUGGCUUUUUCUCCCUUUUUCCAAAGUUUGAUCGUACGUACAAAGUGUUUCUAAAAACCUAGGUCUUUCCUUUUUAUAUCUCCUCCAAAUAACUUAUCUCUCUUUCUCCCCUAAAACUCUCUAAAAUCUCAAAACAGCCCCUAACUAAAUAUUUUAUUUUAUUUUCAAAUCUAAUUUUAUUAAACAACAAAAUAAGUCUCAUCCCCUCAUAGAAAUCGUCACAUCACAUAAAAUCAUCUAAAAUCGUCGUAAAUCAUUUAAAUCAUCAUAAAUCACACAUAUAUUAUAUAAAUAUAAUAUAACUCGUCUAGACUCAAUUAAAUAACUAAUUAAUUAAAAGUGGGCGUUACAGGUGCCCCCGGGGCACUGGUACGGAUUCCAAAAGUAGAAAAAUUGACUUGAAAAUAUAAACUGUUACUUUUGACUAACUAAUUAUUACAUCACUUUUUAAUAAAAUCUUAUCUCUUUUAGCUGCUUAACCAAUGUUCCGGCACUGAUUAACAUUCUCUUUAUAAUUUUAUAAGAAAUUAUUUAAAAAUUUAUAAAUGGGUAACAGUUCAUACUACUGAUUUAAUUAAAGACUGGUGCUAGUCACACAAAAAAAAAACAAGUUACACCCUAGAAUGACUAUUAUACCCUUUAACUAAAAUAAAAAUUUCAAAUUAACUAAAUUUACAUUAACGUAAAUUGAACAUAAGUAAACUUAAUUUACAUUAACCUAAAUUGAACGUAAGUAUACUUAAUUUACAUUAACCUAGAUUGAACGUAAGUAAACUGAAUUUACAUUAACCAAGAUUGAACGUAAGUAAACUGAAUUUACAUUAACCUAGAUUGAACGUAAGUAAACUGAAUUUACACUAACCUAAAUUGAACAGACGUAAACUUGAAUUUACAUUAACCUACAUACGUAAACUACACUAACCCAACCUCUCACUUAAAAUCAAAUUGACAACCAUAUCUCAUACCAAAACAAACAAUAAACAAAUAGAAACUCAUCGAAAAUGAAAUUCAUGAAAUUCACUAACCUUUAUGAAUAUAGUACAGAUCAAUAACAAAGAUGUUGAUUCAGAUAUUGAUUGCACAUCUAUGGUGAUUUGUGGAUGAAAAGGGGUAAGAGUUCAGAAUGAUCAUAAAAAUGGGUUUUUAAAAAUUUACAUGAAGAGGACAAUUUUAGUAUUAUUGUAAAAUUUUAAAUAAAUUUGGAUGUAACUUAUUUUUUUUUUUGGGUGUAACUAGCACCAUUCUUAAUUAAAUUCAAAUCAACAAACUUCGAAAACCUGUUUCCUUGAUUCUCUCUACAUACAUGUAUCGGAUUGAAUGCGCAUUUGAGUUAAGGUAUGUAUCUUAUUGUCGAUUUAUUUACUUAAACCCUUUAUUAUAGCUCAUGUGUAAAUUAAGUUAAAGUUUUGUUUGGAUCCUCCACAUAAUCUGGGUUUUUCUGGGUUAUUAUUCAUAAAAGUACACCUUUUCAAACCUCAAAGUAUAAAAGUACACUUUUCAAAUUUUUUUUUUUUUAAAAUUUCGAGGAAAAUAUGAUUUUGGAUUUAAUCCCAUUUUCCUUUUACAUAUUGUUCAUUGCCCAUUAUCUAAUUUAUGCAUUGAAUUGUUGUUUUCUGCUUUGAUUAUACAGAGAAUAGUGAGAGAUCAGAGGAAGGAGAGUCUGAAAAAGUUAGUAUUUAAGGUUGUUUCUUUCUUUAUUGGGAAAAGAAGGUAAUUAUCACAUUUUUGUUUCUCUUUUUUAUGUUUAAUAAGUAAUACCUUUUGUUUAGUCAGGGUUUAUUGGAAAUUGAAUUUAUGCUGUAAAGGUGAAUGAUAGUUUCUUUUUUUAGGGAAGGUGAAUGAUAGUUUCUAAAUGUGAUUAUAUUCAAUUAUGUCAUUUUCUUAAAUUACUAUAAGUGUCCACGUGGCAUUGUCGUAUUUGGUGUUUGUGUCGGUGUCGGUGCUCGAUAUAUGAUCGUGAAAGAGUAAUGUAGGUUGGCUUCACUCGCUCAAAGACUGAGUCAAGCGAUGGAUACGAAGAAGGAGAAGCAACAAGGGAAUCAAGAAUCGUCUACGAAGAAGGAGCGGCAUAUUGUGACUUGGACUCAAGAGGUACUUUUGUUUCUUUUACGUUUUUUAGGAAUCAAAUGUUAUUAGGGUUUUUGGCACCAAUGUAGACAGAAUCACGAUCCAACUCAUUGGAUGGCAUGAGUUUGCGAUCUUGCAACCCCGCCGUGCCGGAAUUGUAAUCUGGUGGGAGCGGCCAAAAUCGCCGUGAAAACGUGUGGGAGCUGUGUAAUCGAGCGUCUCUGCUGAUUCUGUGCGUCUUCUUCACUGUUCCGGGUUCACGCGACAUAGGUUACCGUUCAAGCUUGAUAUUUGGAAUUGUAAAAUUAAAUUUAGAAAUCUGCAUUUUUUUGGGACUAAUCUCUGUUUGAGAGAUUUGGCUCGUCUACCAUCGAUAAUUUCCCCCAUCCACAGGACAAAGGUGGCCGUUCAAGCUUGAUAUUUGGAAUUGUAAAAUAAAAUUUAGAAAUCUGCAUUUUUUGGGCUGUUUGAUCUUAAUCGAACGGUCACCGUCUCACCGAUGUCCCAAAUGCAUGAAUGCAGAGAAUCAAAGUUCCAUUUCGGGUGCUUAGUUUGCAUUUUAUAGCUUUUCGCCCCUACCAAGAAUGUGUUGUGUGGGGAUCAAACGGCCAUCCUCCCUGAGAAGCUUAAGUUCUGUUUAAGCAGAUUAGCUUUACCUGUUGUAUAUUUAUUCAUUAUUCCAUUGCAUUUGAUGGUGUCUUACAUAUUGGUUAUAUAUGUGGGUUUCAGGAGGAUGAUAUACUAAGAGAACAGAUUGGAAAUCAUGGAACUGAAAAGUACUUGCUCCCCUUUCUUAUUUUUUCUUUUGCCAUACUGUUGUUUUUUUGCCCUUCAAUUUCAAAAAAUUUAACCGAACUGGAUUGUUCAACCGGUUGAAUCGUGAACCAUCACAGUCUACGGUUCGGUUAUUUGUUCAGUUUGAUUGUGGUUUUGUCCCGGUUGAACGGUUUAAGGCAGUUGAACCAUGACCACCACGAGGUUUCUCAGGUUUGGUGUCCAGUUCAAUUUCUUAAACAUUUUCUAUGAUACUUGCCAAAUUAUAGGAAAUCUUUAUUAUAUAUGCAGUUGGGCAACUAUUGCAUCCAAAUUCAAGGACAAAACUACAAGACAAUGCAGAAGAAGGUGAAGUUUUUAUAUUUUGAUUUUUAGUGUAGCUGUUGAAGAUUUUCAUGGUUUCUGCUUUAUUGUUACUGUCAAUCUUAUGCUUAGUAACUAAUACAAUCUCAGAUGGUACACUUAUUUGAAUGUUAAUUUCAAGAAAGGUGGAUGGACACCAGACGAAGAUAUCCUCUUAUGUGAGGUACGGUAUAUCAAUGCUUCAUAUGUUCAAAAGAUUAACUUUCAUCUAUAACAAUUUUCAUAAGAAUUUAACAUGCUUGUUAUAUAAUAAAAUUGGCUAGAACUUUGAAAACUUGUACUUCAUUUUUUUUGUCCCUUCUUUCUCAUACCUCUCUGCGGUAGACAAAAUCCAUCGAUGAACUUGCUAGUAUCAUGGAGAAGCUAUUUAUUUCCGAUAGCCUUGCCUAUUCUCAUGUCUAGGUUGGUUCAUGAGGUGUCAGCUUAGUACUAAAAGUUUGGUAUUGUAAUCUUGGGAGACUGAGUUCCAAUGCCUUCGAGAGCAGUUGUAAAUGGCCAUUAGUGCCACUAUAAUUAAUGGUAGUUUCCCCUUCCUCAAAAUAUAAUUUUUAAACCUGAUGUGUAGGUUACAACCAAACCAGUGAAACAAACCAAAUCUGAGGUGUAUGUUGUCCACGAGGUGUCAAUUUAGUGGUAAAGGUUUGGCCUUGUAAUCUCAAGAGACUGUUCAAAUCCCCUUGGAAACACUUGUAAAAUGACCAUUACUAUCACUUUUUUUUGGGUCUGUAGACGAAGUGGUAAGCACCACUGAAACUCACAACCAUUCCAAGUCCCGGGUUUGAACCGGCUGAAGGCGUCCAACCUAACAAAUUUUGGCAUUGCCAGUUGAGCUAGGCUUUACGGGGACACCAUUAAUAUCACUUUAACUAAUGAUAAUUUCCCCUUCUGCAAUUUUAUUUUUAAAAAUCAGAGGUUACAACCAAACCAACCCAGAUAUUUGUAUAUGUUUACUGCACCAGAUAACAGAAAUUACAUCUGAAAGAAAUGCAUCUGUGAAUGUGCCUUUUGUGACCUAAUUUCUUGUUAUUGUCUUUGUAGGCUCAAAAAAUAUUUGGAAACAGAUGGACAGAAAUAGCAAAGGUGGUUUCAGGCAGGUAACUGAAUAUUCAUUCCUACCUUCUUGCAAUACUGGAUGUCUAUUUUGUGAACGGUUAAUUCACAAUGUAAUGCUUUCUAUGCAGAACGGAUAAUGCCGUAAAAAAUCGUUUCUCCACACUCCACAAGAAGAGGGGAAAAAAUGACAUUGAUUCAAAUAGCAAGAGGAAUAUUUCCUAUCAAGGUUAUAAUACAGAUGCAAUGUCAGAAUCUGCCAUGCCAGUUAAAAGAACGAGGUAUCGUGCACUUUAAGUAUCGAAAUACUCAACUUUUGCAAAAAAAGGUUUUAACAUAUUAUCCUAUUGCAUAAUAGGACGGCCCAUAUCCCUGAUGAUGCAAAAAUGAUCAACAUUGGAGACAGAUCACAUUUGCGAAAUGCAAUUUCAAUAAAUCAGCAACCAAGAGCACCACUUGCCGAAUUAGCUCAACAAUCAAAUAAUGUGAACAAUUUUCCAGACAGGCAUCAUGUUUCCAAUGACAAGUUCAACAGUUCCGGUAAUUGUCUCGAUGGAACUUGAAUAUUGCAUUAUGAUAACGAGGGACAGAAAAGUGGACUGAAUUAAUAUGUUCUGUAAAUAUAAUUUUAGCCAUCCUUUGUUCUAAUAUGAUUUUGGUUCAUCUUGUUUGUCCAGGCCGAAAUAACAAAUAUGAACUCAAAAAGGAUGAUCCGAAGAUAAGUGCAUUGAUUCAAAUAAUUGAUUCAGAGAACAUGGAAAGAGUAUGGAAGGUGAGAAUUGAUACUUUCUAAACUCCAUAAUUGAGUCUUGAACACUUUAUAUGCUUCUCCAGAAAACAUCUCCCUCAAUUGUUUGAUAAAACCCAAAAUUAUAAAUAUUGGUCCUGCCUAUUACUGAUUAUAAAAAAAUUCUUUUUGAUAAUCAAUAAUUUAGAGAUUUUGAAAAAAAUCUCAAGCAUAAAAUUUAUGAAGUUCGUUGAACAUUUUUUACAUCUUGGCUUAAUUCUAUAGUACCAUGGUAGCACAACAAUCUAAUUGGAAAGUAUAGGCGCUAUUUGUUCGUAAAAUUUGAACAUUUUCAACUUCUCUAUUUUUGAGUCUGAAGCAUUCAUCUUUCUAGCAUCUUUUUUCAAUAUUAAAAGUUAAUUUUUAUCUUAGAAAGCCUAUCACAAGCCGUUAACUCUUGUUAUUAUGCACAUAUAAAUAUGAUAGGUGUCAUAAUGCACGAAUUUCAAAUAUCAUCUAACACUUGUUUGAAUACCCAGCCACUUCCAGAGUCGCAUAUAAAAUAUGAUAGGUGUCAUAAUGCAUGGAUUUCAAAUAUCGUCUAACAAUUGUUUGAAUACCAGCCACUUCUAGAGUUUCUGAGCCAAACAGAUAUCAUUGGAGAAAAAAUUGCAGUUUUACAGCUUGUAAGUCAUACAGUCAAGGAGUUUAAGAGUAGCAAUGAGAGAGGCCAUUCCCGCUUGAGGUAGUUUAAGUUCUUUGUAAAUAUAACUUAUGUAGCCUCUGAAAUAAUUUCUAAUGAUUUCUGAAUAUUUUCUAGGCAAAUAAAACCAGACAAGGACUGCUCAGGAAGUUCUGAAUACAGUACAGGAUUAACUCUGCAACAUAAGUCAACUUGUACUGGUGAUAAUUUGGAAAGCGCAUUGAAUCAGGAUACUGGAACUGAAAUUCAAGCUACACAACUUGGGGUUAAAAAAGAAGUAUGUGAAGGUGUGAAGGAGGUUCUUUCUACUGGAAAAGUGGAACAAGGUAAGAAUAAGAUAAUCCCCUUCUGUAAUUAAUAAAUCGUAAACGGAAAAUUACAAGAAAAUAUCAGGCCCGCAUACUUUCUGAAAUCAUUUUCUGUUUUUUAUUUUCUAAAAUUUAUGUUCAUUUUACAUUGCUAUCAAAGAGAUAAAUGAUGUGGUUAACAAUUGUCAGAGAGAAUAUGAAAGACAAGCUAGGAAGAAUGCAUUUUCAAACAUAAUAAAAACAAUGUUUUGGCAUUUUCAAUUUUUUUGAAAAUGUUGCAUCUGUUUUAAAAAAUUAUAAAGAAAACGGUGAGAAAAAUAUUAGAUCUAUGUUCUUUUUCUGUAUGUUAGUUUAAGUGAAAAUGAAAAUAGAAAACAUAGAAAGUAAGUGGGGCCUAAUUUUUGUAAAUGAUUCGGUUUAGGAACAAUUAACCACUUACUCAGUUGAUGUUCAAAGAGUUGAUGAAGAACCACCCUUGACUUAACCACCUAAGCUAAGAGUUCCUAAGCUGAAAAAUAUAAAGACUUAAAACGCUUUUCUAUAAGCUAAUGCAGUAACAUUUUAAUGAAUCAGAAGUGCUAAUAAGAUAUUUAUUCUGUGGCAGAUACGAUACCAAACUGUGAUGAACAGAUAAUUGCCUCGCCAAGAAUGGAGUGUUCCCCUCUUCAAGUGACUCCUAUUUUCAGAUCCUUGGCUGAAGGAAUUCCAACCCCAGAAUUUACAGACAGUGUAAGUUACCCAUGCACUUGGGAUUAAACAAUUUGAACCACAAAAAUUAUAACAGUAAUAGUGGUGACAACACUGACAAGUAAUAUGACAUAUUAGGGAUACCAAUGAGCUUGUUAGGACAGACUAAUUAGGAGUAUGUUAGGUUUGGAACUAAUGUGUUAGUUAGAGAAGUUAUUAGUUAAUUGGGUCGUUAGGUUUAUCUUGUGUAUAUAGGGAAUUUAUUGCGUUAAGAGGGUAUCUGAUCAUUGUAAAUUUUUUGAAUAGAGUAGUGACUCUAAUGUAAAAAGGGGAACCCUUUGGAUGAGUGUUUUCUCUCCUCUCUUCCCUAUUUUCUUAAUACAAUUGUCCCUUAGAUUCCAUUCAAUUCUUGGGUUCCUAAAUAUUAGUCCGAUCUGCCGGAUCUUCGAGAGAGCGCCAGUUCUACAAAUAAUGGAGGACCUGUGGGCCAAGAAGGUGGAGUUGCCGGAUUUUACAGGGACAAAUCCCAUUGGGUGGAUCACAAAAGCUGAAAAGUUCUGUGAGGAGCAAGAAAUUCAUAGGUUCGGUCAGCAACAAUGUGCUUUCAUGAGAAUGGAGGGAGAAGCCAUGUGUUGGUGUAAGGAGGACUUGGAUUUGGUGUGGGGAAUCAUUUUCCACAGACCUGAUAAAAAGAUUAAGGAAUCAAGAACCAGAAAGGUCAGGAGUGGAGUAACAGACACCGAUGAAGAAGCCAUAGCAGUAAAAGAAGCAAAUCUGUUGUUUAAUGCAAGUGGGUUGCAUGGAGAAGAUCAAACCAACAAACUAAAUGGUAAAAAAUGAAGAGAAGUGGCAGCGCGACAGUGAGAAUACUGGUUCUUGGUCUCAAAAGACUCUGGUGAACCUUGUGUCUUUGUUUGAACUGUCAAAUCAAGAAUCAUACACGGAAUACAAAGAGAUCCAAACCCGUCCACCAAAACAAUUAGACGUUAAUCAGCUUGAGGUGGACCUACACAUUCUGCACCACUGACAAUAGUCGAGCCACCACCUCUACAGGAGCCUCUGGAUGCUAAUCAUUUGGCAUCGGACCUUAAACAGCCAGAUGUGCCUGCUGGCGAGUCAUGAAUCACAACCAUUGGGUUUUCGUUGAAGAAAUCAUCAGGGGCACACACACUAGUAUAUACAACCUUGUGGAAGGCGAUGGAUAGAGAGUUGAAAAGGGCCUUUGGUAUGUUGGGUUCAAGGCUAAGUCUAAUAGGUCUUGGCCCAAAUGGAUAGUAACCCAAUUGUUCAAAAAAGAUGGAUUUUUUCUUAACCCAAUUCAAGGACUAAUCCAAGGAAGAGGGUGGGGAGAAACUGACUUGAGUGCAGGAAUUCCUUGUCCUUUGUUGUUGCAAUCUAUGCAGCAGCAACACUUCUGAUCGAUUGCGUGUCCGGUAUCCGACAUGUGUCAGUGUCCGACACCGACACGACAGUGACACAUGUGAUUACAUUUAAUUGUCAUUUUUUCAAAUGAUUGUCUUUGUCGACGUGUCACUGUCAUGUCUGGUGUCCGUGUUUCAUAGUUUGCAAUCUACCAUAUGCAUGAUGUUCCCAUUCCGGUUCCUUCCGAUUUGCUUUCCGCUGUUUUCUCCUUAGGUGGGUGUGCCCUAUCUGGCACAAGCCCCUCUGACACAUGUAUCCUCGUCGUCGUCGCGCAUCCCAUGGGUGACGCUUAUGAAACAUCUCAAACCGAAAGGUAAGAGACCUUGGCAAGAGUGGUAGAUGUCACGAGUAGUAUAAUCUGUGGAUGGAGCUGAAAAUGGCCCGUGGGAUAUAAUAGGAAAACAAAAAGGGUACCGGUUCUGCUAUAUUUUUUCCAUACAAAGAUCUUCUCAGAGAGAGUUAUAUUAAGUGAUUUGUUCAGACUUCUGGAAAUAUAGAAUAUAUGGCAAUUGGAACUGAGAAUAUCUAAGUGGCCCAAUUGUUUGCAACCGAUGCAACAUAAUCAUGUUAUUUUUCUGAUGCAAUACUAAGAUGACUUAUAUUUGCAGAUUAUAGAUAAAACAUAAUGUGGGCUAAAAUGCAUUUUGUUCCCUAUUUUUACUGAUUCACGAUUUUGGUUCCCCAGUUUUAAAAUGUCUGAUUUUUUGUCCACUUAUUUAUUUUGAGGCUGAAUUUUAAAGUGAAAAACUUACGUAGAGCUUUGUCUUGCAUCAAAUAUUAACUUUUGUCGUAUAAAUUAAUGUAUAUUUGGAUGAAUGGAAAAUAUUGGUAAGUGAAAAUCCACCUAGACAGUGUCAUGACAUCAAUUCAGUUGCCACAUAAGUAUCUCACUUGUCACAUUAUAAAAAAACCAACCCCAAAUGCAUAGGUGAAGAAAAUAUUUGACCUUUUUAAAAUUGAGGGACCAAAAUCAUCGAUUUAAAAAUAGGGGGACCAAAAUAAAAAAAUGAGACAAAAUAGAGGGACCAAAACUGCAUAUGUCAUGAUAGUCAAAUAAUGGUAGCAUUGUGUAUUUGCAUCACUAGUGUAGUUGAUUAAACCUUAUUACGUAGAAACCAUUUGUCCAUUCAAUCCAGCACCGGUGCAUUAGAGUUAUUCACACCUUUGUUUUUAGUGUGUUUUGCAAUAAAAAACUGUAUUUUGUUUGUUAGGCACUGGGAUAUAUCAAAGUUUGACAGUAUACUAACCAUUUUUUAACACUUUCAGGAAAAGAGCUUCCUAAGGAAAACACUGGGAGUGGAGUCUCCAUCUAUCAGUACCAAUGUCAACCCAUACAAACCGCCACCGUGCGUAAGAGCCCUUCAAUAUAAUCCAUGAUUCAUCUGACAUACAAAUAUUCAUAUGACAUUCUGCUUUCUGAAUCCUUUGCUCCAUCCUUGGCAAUUCGGGUUUCAGAGUUUUUCUUAAUCUUAAAGGAGGUGUGGUGAAGUAAGACUGCUUCAGUAUAAUCCAUGAUUCGUCUGACAUACAAAUAUUCAUAUGAAGUUCCCGUUUCUGAAUUCUUUGUUCCAUCCUUGGCAUUUCGGCUUUCAGAGUUUUUCUUAAUUUUUUAAGGUGUAGGGAAAUUCCAAGCGUAGAAUGAGCUACCUCUAGACCAAGGAAGUACUUCAAAGUUCCUAGAUCCUUGAUUUUAAAGGAGGUGUCAAGAGCUGUCUUGAUUAAUUGGAAUUCAUGAAGAGAGUCUCUUGCCAAUAACAUCAUCAAAGUUUUCCUGUUUUGAGAAUGAUUGCAAUCUCUGCCUUAAGUUUUGAAAGGCACACGCUUCCCGUAGAAUGUUAUGAUACAUUCUUUUAGCAUCACCCCUUUCACUCAUAAUUAAAUUUCUUGAUACUUGCACAAAGUAUUGGUGUGCUUAGCGUGUCGUCCUAUGGUUUGCCAUUUUUCUUUUUCUUUUUUUUGUACAAAGUCUUCUGUCUGUGGAAUCAUUAGCAUCCUGAUUGUGUGUGUGCAUAAAUUUUGUGCUUAUCCUAUUAACUUUGAAUAUGGAUGUCUGUUGAAUCAUUAGCAUCCUGGUUGUGCGUGUUGGUUGUGCAUGUGUGCAUAAAUUUUGUGCCUAUCCUAUUAACUUUGAAUAUAGAAAGAAAAAAGAGUUCAAGAAUAAGCAGUAUCAACUUGAAUUCUUAUUUGAUUUUUUGGGUGUGCAUACAUUAUGUAAUAAACAUUUUUCCCUCUUUUGGGUUUGAUGCACUGAAACCUGACCAUUAUAGAGUGUGGAAAUGCAUUUUGGUUUUGGUGUGUACAUUUUCUUUAUUUUACACGCCCCCCUUAAUAUAGAGAAUUCUUCAAACAAGGAAAAGUGGAACUGAGAACUUUCUCAAUGCACUCAGCACAAAAUCAAACAAAUAGCGUAACACCGACACAUCAUCAUAUCAAUGACAUGUCUGGUGUCUAACAUUCAACUACUUUCAUAUUCUUAAAUUAGUACAUGUGUCAGUGUCUUAGUGUCGUAUCUGGUGUUUAAUGUUUGUGACAAUGCUUCAUAGCUCUAACUCUCUACACAUAAAGUAGAUUUCCACAUUUAAUUUCAAUGUUUUAGAUUAGAAAUCCAAAGGACAAAACAUCACUCAGAAGUAGAGGAAGCUAAUGUCAAUGAAAAUAAAAAUUUAACAACAUAUGGAGAAUGCAAAAUUAUUUACUUACAGAGUAUACAAGACACCUCUUAGUACUCUGACUCUGACCUGGCAGAAGAAUAGAAACAUGGUCUGUUUGCAAUGGUGUCUUGUGGCCUGUUUUCUGUUUUGAAGAAGA